GACGUAGGGCGCGAGCGUUGUCCGGAUUCAUUGGGCGUAAAGGGUGUGUAGGUGGCGCCGUAAGUCGGGUGUGAAAUUUCGGAGCUUAACUCCGAAACUGCAUUCGAUACUGCCGUGCUUGAGGACUGGAGAGGAGACUGGAAUUUACGGUGUAGCGGUGAAAUGCGUAGAUAUCGUAAGGAAGACCAGUGGCGAAGGCGGGUCUCUGGACAGUUCCUGACGCUGAGGCACGAAGGUCAGGGGAGCAAACGGG
rnacentral:rRNA from 1 species